rnacentral:rRNA from 1 species
UACGAAGGGGGCUAGCGUUGCUCGGAAUCACUGGGCGUAAAGCGCACGUAGGCGGCUUUCUAAGUCAGGGGUGAAAUCCUGGAGCUCAACUCCAGAACUGCCUUUGAUACUGGAGAGCUUGAGUCCGGAAGAGGUGAGUGGAACUCCGAGUGUAGAGGUGAAAUUCGUAGAUAUUCGGAAGAACACCAGUGGCGAAGGCGGCUCACUGGUCCGGUGCUGACGCUGAGGUGCGAAAGCGUGGGGAGCAAACAGG